rnacentral:misc_RNA from 1 species
AGCAGCCGCGGUAAUUCCAGCUCCAAUAGCGUAUAUUAAAGUUGUUGCAGUUAAAAAGCUCGUAGUUGAAUUUCGGGAUCAAUAUGUUGGUCGUGCCUUGGUACGUACUGGCGUCAUUGGUUUCUACCUUCUGAAGAACCUCGAUGUCAUUAAUUUGGUGUCUUGGGGAAUCAGGACUGUUACUUUGAAAAAAUUAGAGUGUUUAAAGCAAGCUCACGCUUGAAUACAUUAGCAUGGAAUAAUGAAAUAGGACGUUUGAUUCUAUUUUGUUGGUUUCUAGGAUCGACGUAAUGAUUAAUAGGGAUAGUUGGGGGCAUUAGUAUUCAAUUGUCAGAGGUGAAAUUCUUGGAUUUAUUGAAGACUAACUACUGCGAAAGCAUUUGCCAAGGAUGUUUUCAUUAAUCAAGAACGAAAGUUAGGGGAUCGAAGACGAUCAGAUACCGUCGUAGUCUUAACCAUAAACUAUGCCGACUAGGGAUCGGGUGAUGUUAAUUUUUUAAUGACUCAUUCGGCGCCUUAC